GAGCGUUCUCCCGAUUCGGUUGCAUUCACACCGCGUCAAGAGUUCAGGAUUUGAGGCGGACCGGAGUUCCUUUUGUUAGUCCGCAUUCUCACCUCCCCAAAUGAACCGGAGCUGGAUUAAAGUGGACUAGACAGGGCUGGUGUGAAUGCAGCCGCAGUGUGAAGGAAAACCUGUAAAACCUCAGUUUCUAAAUCAGGAGGCUCCGAGGAUCCGGGAGCCGCCCGUGUCGGCAGAUUAAUCGUUGCUGCUCCGACUCAAAUCACUUCUUUUGGGAGCUUUUUUAAGAGUUAUGUGAAAAGUUCUUGAUCAAUUUUAGCUGGAGUUUGUUUUUUCCCCCUGCGAGGCGAGAGUGUUGCAGCUCUGAGCUACGAGCUGUUUUGGGGAAAACCACUCAGGGCUGUGAGUGCAGACGGAGACGGGACGCACUGAGGAGCAGAGCUCACUGGUUCCCACUGAGCUGCUCAUCAAAACGUCCCUCUGCUGGUGACGCCUGUUACUGAGACAUGAACAUUUCCGCUCUAAUCUGGAGGAAUCGAUCAACAUCCCAGUUCUGGGAAGUGGCUUUUCCCAGCUUACAGGCUUCAGUUCGGCUCAUUUAAAUGGCUUUUCAAGGCACUUCAACUCAAUAACAGACGGAUUUAAAGGAGUUCCCCAGGGCUCUGAGCUCAAACCUCUUCUCCUCACUGGGCCACAUCAUCCAAUCACAUCCGAGCUUCUCAGACCACCUCGAUGCUGACGACACCCAGCUCUGCCUGUCGUUCUCUGACAUGAUCAGUGGAUCGUCGCUCCGUCUGCCUCCGUCGUUGUGUCCUUGGGUAAUAAGGACCGAUGGUGCUUCUAACCAAACAGCCCAGCUGUGCAGAAACGCUUGAAAUGAGAACAACAUGCUCCACCGCAGCCCAAAGGAAGAUCCGUUUAUCUGGUGACGGCUGAAGCCACUGGAGUUCAGUUUGAGACGAUCUGAACUUGAAACCAUUUCUUCUUUUUUUGACAUUUCUAAAUUAAUAGUCGGCUUGUGGAAAGGUUGAUCAGAGGAGUGGAGGGCUGGCCUAAUGAUGCAACACUGACAGCAGUGAAGCCGUCCGACUCCUGCCUGAAUGAAAUGUGUCAGAAUCAGCCCCACAGAUUCACCCUGCGCAUACUAAGAUCUCACACAUGACGGCUGCAGCAGGAACCGGCCAUCCGGACUCAGGAUGUCAUCAUUCCUGGUGUUUAUUGAGAUAAUGAUAAAAGUGAUGAUAAGAAAGUGGUUAAAAAUCCCUUGUGCUGU